GUCUAUGUCAAUGAUACCCUGAACAAGCCUGAUCUCGUCUGAUCUUGAAAGCUAAGCAGGAUCAGGCCUGAUUAGUACUUGGAUGGGAGAUCACCUAGAGAAGCCCAGAUGCUGUAGGUG
rnacentral:rRNA from 1 species